rnacentral:rRNA from 1 species
GCCCAACCGUAAAAAAUUAACUUACAACAAACAGCGCCAGGGAAUUACGAGCAAUGCUUAAAACCCAAAGGACUUGACGGUGUCCCACCCACCUAGAGGAGCCUGUUUUGUAAUCGAUGAUCCCCGCUACACCCCACCAUUUCUAGCUCUUCAGCCUGUAUACCUCCGUCGAAAGCCUACCAUGUGAACGCGUUUCAGUAGGCCCAAUGACCCCCAUCAAUAUGUCAGGUCAAGGUGCAGCUCACGAAAUGGGAGCUAAUGGGCUACAAUUUCUAAUUUAGAACAAACGAAAUACUAUGUGAAAUCAUAGUCAUGAAGGCGGAUUUAGUAGUAAAAAGAAAAUAGAGAGUUCUUUUUAACUCGGCUCUGGGACGUGUACAAACCGCCCGUCACCCUCUUCGAUAAAAUUAUUAUAGUAUAUACCCC